rnacentral:misc_RNA from 1 species
GAAAUGCUAUAAGUAGUGUGAAUUGCAGAAUUCAGUGAAUCAUCGAAUCUUUGAACGCACAUUGCGCCCCUUGGUAUUCCAUGGGGCAUGCCUGUUCGAGCGUCAUCUACACCCUCAAGCUCUGCUUGGUGUUGGGCGUCUGUCCCGCCCCCGCGCGUGGACUCGCCCCAAAUCCAUUGGCAGCGUUCCUUGCCCCCUCUCGCGCAGCACAUUGCGCUUCUCGAGGGCGGCUCCGGGACGCGAUCCAGCAAGAUGACCACCGUCUUUGACCUCGGAUCAGGUAGGGAUACCCGCUGAACUUAAGC